GACGAACGCUGGCGGCGUGCUUAACACAUGCAAGUCGAACGGAAAGGCCUCUUUCGGGGGGUACUCGAGUGGCGAACGGGUGAGUAACACGUGAGUAACCUGCCCUUGACUUUGGGAUAACUUCAGGAAACUGGGGCUAAUACCGGAUAGGAGCUCCUGCUGCAUGGUGGGGGUUGGAAAGUUUCGGCGGUUGGGGAUGGACUCGCGGCUUAUCAGCUUGUUGGUGGGGUAGUGGCUUACCAAGGCUUUGACGGGUAGCCGGCCUGAGAGGGUGACCGGCCACAUUGGGACUGAGAUACGGCCCAGACGCCUACGGGAGGCAGAAGGGGGGAAGAUUGCACAAGGGGUGGAGGCCGGAUGCAGCACCGCCGUGGGCGGGAUGACGGCCUUCGGGUUGAAAACCGCUUUCGCUCAUGACGAAGCUUUGUGUGACGGUAGUGGGUAAAGAAGCACCGGCUAACUACGUG
rnacentral:rRNA from 1 species